GAAAGCAGGAGCUUCCUGGGGACCGGAGAGGAAACAAAUGUGGCCCGCGCAGGCAGGGUCCCCACAGGAUCCAGAGACGUCAGGCAGCACCUGCUCUGCCCUCCCUCUGAGCUCACAGCAGCAAGCAAGCUGUCAGAGUGACGUGACUCCAGAGCCUGCAGGGGCACUGCGUUGUGAUGGAAGGAGAGAUGGGCCGCUCCCCAAGAAUGCUUACUGUAACAGUCGCCGUGGUCCUGGGUUCCCUUCUACAAAGGGUUUCGUGCAGCCUGAUGCUACAGAGACCAGCGCAGGAGGAAGGCCUCGGGGGGCGCAUUCCCUUCUCAGCAGGUAGCUCAGGCAGCCCCCUCCCCUCCAGGGCCACGGUGUCCUCAUUUGUGAAAUGGGAACACUGCUACGCACGACCAACGACACUGUGAGUGAUGUGCCCAAACUCCUGUGUCGGAGUCCUAACCCCCAGCACCCCAGGAUGGGGCCUGAUUUGCAGACAGGGUCUUUAUGGAGUGGGCCAAGGGGACAAGAAUUCAUUACGGUGGGCCCGGAUCCAACAUGCCUGGUGUCAUUAUACACAGAGGCGAUUUGAUCACAGAUGGGCCCACAGGGAGGAGGCUGUGUGAAGACAGAGGCAGAGACCAGGGUGAUGUUUCUAGACAACAAGGAAUGAGAGAUGCCAGCAGACCCCCAGAAGCUGGGAGACAUGGGAGGG